CGCGUCAGAAACACUUCAUACUUGUACCUCUGGGAUAGGGUCCUGGUGUCGCUCACGUCCACCAGAUGCCUGGAAAGGGGUCCUCGGGCACCGAGCAGCGACCCAAUGAGGCCUCCCUGCUCCUCCUGCACAGCCGCACCGCCACGAACAGGAGCACCGAGAAGAGGAAGAACGACGACACCAAGGCCAACGCCACCACCAGAAUCGCGGUCUUGAAUGCUGAAAAGAGCUGCAACGGUCUCAGGAGAAUUUUCGCGGAUGGGGCUUGUGAAUGAAGCCAUGGUCAGUUCCGGAGCGUUAUCGUUGAUAUCUACCACCUGUAUUAUGACAGUGCAUUUUCCAGAAAGACCUGCCCCAUCAGAGGCUUUAAUAUCCACCUGAUAUGACACAAUUUUUUCAAAA
ensembl:lncRNA novel transcript, antisense to PCDHB5, PCDHB6, PCDHB7, PCDHB8, PCDHB9, PCDHB10, PCDHB11, PCDHB12, PCDHB13, PCDHB14 and PCDHB16